rnacentral:rRNA from 1 species
GGGAUAACAGUUAGAAAUGACUGCUAAUACCGCAUAAGCGCACAGGACCGCAUGGUCCGGUGUGAAAAACUCCGGUGGUAUGAGAUGGACCCGCGUCUGAUUAGCUGGUUGGCGGGGUAACGGCCCACCAAGGCGACGAUCAGUAGCCGACCUGAGAGGGUGGCCGGCCACAUUGGGACUGAGACACGGCCCAAACUCCUACGGGAGGCAGCAGUGGGGAAUAUUGCACAAUGGGGGAAACCCUGAUGCAGCAACGCCGCGUGAGUGAAGAAGUAUUUCGGUAUGUAAAGCUCUAUCAGCAGGGAAGAAAAAAGACGGUACCUGACUAAGAAGCCCCGGCUAACUACGUGCCAGCAGCCGCGGUAAUACGUAGGGGGCAAGCGUUAUCCGGAUUUACUGGGUGUAAAGGGAGCGUAGACGGCAUAGCAAGUCUGAAGUGAAAGCCCGUGGCUCAACCGCGGAACUGCUUUGGAAACUGUUAAGCUGGAGUACUGGAGAGGCAAGCGGAAUUCCUAGUGUAGCGGUGAAAUGCGUAGAUAUUAGGAGGAACACCAGUGGCGAAGGCGGCUUGCUGGACAGAGACUGACGUUGAGGCUCGAAAGCGUGGGGAGCAAACAGGAUUAGAUACCCUGGUAGUCCACGCGGUAAACGAUGAAUGCUAGGUGUUGGCGGGCAAAGCCCGUCGGUGCCGCCGCAAACGCAUUAAGCAUU